rnacentral:lncRNA from 1 species
AAAAGCAGUGUCUCUCGUUUUUUUUAACCCAUUAUUUGGCCGCCAUUUAACCGUGCGCCAAGGCCCCGAUUGUGACGGAGAUGGCACCGGCUCGACGACUUCGGCGAUUAGGUGAGUUUCCCCUUUCCCUUUUACAUUUUAAGAGAAAAAUAACUAAAAAAUAAAGGAAAAAAAAUAAAAACAAAACCGAUAACUAAGAAUGACGAACACCAAAUAAAUAAAUGGAAAAAAAACCUUUUUGUAUUCAAAAAUCUCUUUAUAUCUCCCCCUUUUACACUGAAAAUAUUGGCCUUUUAUAGCCGAAAAUGGAAAAGAAAACUAAAUCCAAACAAAUCUAUUCGGUUGUUUGUUGGCUCGAUUUUUGCUCUUCUCUUUCGCUUGUUGCAGGUACGUGCUUGAGGAGCGACAUUUGCGGAGGUGUGGCGUGCGUAGAGGAGCGCGAAGAGGCAGUAGUUGCGGCGCCAGAUUGCUAGUGGCCGCUGGGGCAGAAGCAGCUACGGCGCUGAAGCAGAAAGGGCUAGGGUUUCUGCACUGGGCUAGGGUUAAUGUAAUUGGGCUGAAUUUUUGGGUUUAGUCUGCAGAUGGGUAAUUAGGUUAAUUUUGGGCCUUAAAAUGUCUUACGGGCCUGGGCAUAGAAAUUGGGUAUUACAGGUAUCAAAUUGGAAUAUUUGUUAUAGUAAAAAGGCCACUCAUGAAAUUAUCCGUUUAUAAUUUCUUUGUAUUUUUCUUUUGUUAUGGAAUAUAUUAUUAUAUUAAACAUUUAAUAUAAAAUUUCGGAUAAUUUCAAUAGACGUUCCCAAGCUAUGACCAAAAUUUUAAAAUAAUCUUUAAACUUCAAAAUAUUUAAAAUUUAUCUUUAAAGUGUCAAUAUCGUAUCAUCUAGGUCCUUCAUUCAACCUAACAUCAAACUUGGAUAUUAAAUUCCUAAUUAGAUUUGAUAUGAAAGAUAUUUAAAACACGUUGAUUAAAUUUUAAACACGCCUACACUUAUUGCAUGGACAACAUAGAUUUUACGUGUAAGAAAACAAUAUCAUUAAAUUUAAGGGAGUUGAUUCUCUUUCUCCAAUGUAUUAGGUAUCCAUAUUGUUUAUGCAAUUGGUAUAAACAAGUUUAAAAUCUGAUACACUUGUUUUAAAGAUGAUCUACACUAGAUUUGAACUAACACUUAACAUUCAAGUUGAGAGUUAGGCUGACAAGGAGACUUGAUUGAUGCGAUAUUUAAUACUUUGAAGAUUCAAUUAAAAUGUUUUGAAGUUUAAGGAUAAAUUUGAAUUUAACACAUAUUUUGGGGGUUUCUAGUGGAAUUAAUCUUAAAUUUUAAUUAUUUUAUAAACAUUUGAUGUUUUAAUAUUUGUGAUGUAACUCCCCAAAAUUUCUGUUAUGACAGGUAGUCUUGUUUUAGGAUCAAGCAUACUGAAAUCUUUAGAAAAUUUGGAAAAUGAGUCAAAUAGAUAAUUCUUUUUAAGAAGGUAAAAUUGAUAUUGGAAAGAAAUGUGGAUGUGAAAAUGAGCCUAGAAAGGGAUUAAAUUGCAAGUUUAAAAAAGUUAGAGGACUAAAAAAUAAAUUUGACCAAAAAGACAAUUGAUACUUAUUAGUUAAAAAAUAAAUUUGACCAAAAAGACAAUUGAUACUUAUUAGUUAGAAUGUGUAUGGGUGUAAUGGUAAACACUUUUGGAACAAAUUGAAAAAUAUUUGAAAAUGUAAAGACUAAAUUAUAAAUUACUCAUGUUUAUCAAGAAAAGGGCAUAGGUGUAAUUUUCACCACUCGUGGACUUGUAUUAAAGGCUAAAUCAUUGUUAAAUAUCUAUUUGAUGUGAUGAAAGUGGAUUAAGAAGCCAAAAGGAGAAAAACGGUGAUUUUGCCACAUCAAAGCAUUUUCGUCUUGUCACAUGAAUUUUAUAUUAGAAAUAUAGUGGAAGCAUAAUAAUAUAUUAAUGACAUCAAUUAUGAAUCAUUGGAUUGGAUUAAAAGACAAAGAUAGAAUGUUGACCACACAAUUUUUAAAAUGGGGUUUGACUUGACUUGGUGUUUUUAAAAGAAAUGUGUAACAUCCUUUAUUCGGUUUGGUCGACGAACUCGAGCUACGGAGUGCUAUAGUUAAAGCUGAAACAAAAGCCAUUCAAUUUACAUCGAUUAUUUCAAAUAAACAUGAUAUUACUCCAUAACUACACAAUUAACAUUCAAAUUUAAUAUGAAUCAUACAAUCAUAAUCAAAUCAAUGCAAAAUCACUAAAUAUAAUUUUUCUCGGGCAUUAUACGAGCUUACAUAUGCUCUAGUAUCAACCUAGAAUUUAACUAGGACUAAUUUGUAACAUUUUUAAAAUUUACAAAAAAAUUAUUUCAUAAAUAAAUUCUUCAAAUAAUUAAUCAUAUCAUAAAAAUUCAAAUAUUAUAAUAUACAAUUAAAUUCAAGUUUCAAACGAGCUUACAAAAGCUCUUAAACCAACCCAGGAACAAAUAAGGUCUUAAUCGAAAACUUAGCAAAAAGUAUAGAAAUUUAUACAAAAGGGGUCACACGGCCGUGUAUCCAAGCCGUGUGAAAAGUUGUGACCGAGUGUGAUUAAGUUACACGGUCGUUUAUCUAGGCCAUGUGUCUCACUGAAAUUGUAUGGAUUAAAAAAUUUACUUCUUUUAGUGGUCACACGGUCGUGUCACCAACCCGUGUGGAAACACACAACCAUGUGUCAGACCAUGUGCAACAAAAAUGUACCUUUUUAAACAAGUUACCAUUUCAACCAUGCCAAAACCUAUACCAAUGCCAAUAUACAAUAUUACAUCUAUUCAAAACAUGCCAAAACACACCUAAAUCAUUGCGUUAAACAACUAAUCAAUAUGCCUCAAUGACAUCAUUUUACAACAAGAUUCGAAUCAAAUAAUUAAUCCCAUUUCAUGUCAAUUUAAACUAUGACCAUCUAUGUUCACUAUAAACAAUCAAAACACUAAGUUAUGGCCACCUAUAAAUAGUCACAUUACCAAAACUAACCAUACAUAAGUUUAGUACCAAAUUCACACUCAAGACUUUUACCAAUUCUAUAUUUAUUUCACUUCAAAUAUGCACCUAGGAAUCUUAUACAAUCUACAUACCAAAAUGCUACUCAUUACAACCAUUUGAACACCAAACAACCAUUUAUAUGCUUAUUCCAUAACUUACCAAACUAUCCCAAAAUCAAUAUCAUCAUUAGGCCAACUUAUAAUCACUCAAGACAACAUAAGUACAACUCCACCAUAUAUACAUGCCACAUAACCGAGUCUGGGGCAAAGAAAAGACUACCAAAUCAGAUCCUGGACAGUGCGAGCUCCGGAUUGAUCUGACGGACGCGUUCCACAAAAUAACCUAUACAGAGAUAGAAAAGCAAACAAGAUAAGCAUUAUGAAUGCUUAGUAAGCUCCUAUGAAAUUUACACUACAUGCCUUGACCUUAAACUAAAUUAAACUAUUAAACCAGUUUGGUAAUUAAUAUGGCAUCCUUGUCUUCUUUGUACUUUCGUAUACAUUCCCACAAAAAUAAGUAAUAGGUUAGUUUAUUUAUACAUCAAGAACUGCUAAUACAAAUGACAUAUACUUAUACAAUGAUUUAAUAUAGCAAAUCAUAUGAUAUCCAAUUCAUGCUCAAUUUAUAAACACAUAUACUUAAGUUCUUUUUCACAUCACAUUCAAUCAUGCUUGUUUUGCAACAUUACAACAUACAUGUAACAACUGAUUUUCACAUUUAAUCUUUCUAUUCAUUUUGAAUCCAUUUACUUACUAUUUUAGCAUGAAUAACUAUAGUAAAUAUACUUCGGACACACAAGAUAAGAUUGCUCACACGAACUGUAACUGUAAUUGCUUACAUGAGCUGUGAGUCGGGAUGGUAACUUUACAUUAUGCUGCUCACAUGAGCUGUGAAGAAUUCGUAACAAAUGCAGGACCUUAGCCAUCAUUAAAAUAUCCAAGACCAGCACCCAAAACUGUGUAAACCCUAAUGACAUGUCAUUUGUAUCUUAGUUAUUCACUAAGUUCACACGGGCCUCUUUUUUGUAUUCAAUCCAUUUUCAAUCUCUAUAACUGUAUACUCGCUUUUCGUAUUUUCAAUACAAUUUAUAUACAUUUACGGUGAGUCAUCAUCAUAUACACAUCAUUAAAUCAAAUCACAAAUUUGAUCAAUCAAUACUACUCAUCUGUUCACUAUUAACAUUUAAACUUCUUAUUUUACAAUUUAGUUUGAUAAAUGUUGUAUUAAUAAAAAUUACACUUGUAUAUAUAUAAUUAAUAGGUAUAAACAAACAAUUCUAACAUAAUAAUAGAAUACAGUAAGCUCCAUAUAAACUUAUCUAGAAAAUGAAAACUGUAACACCCAAUACUCGGCCUGGUCGCCAAUCCCGAAUAUCCGGAUGCCAUACUACCGUCUCAUGUCAUACACAACAAGUAAAAACUCAUUCUAAAUGAAACGUCUUUAAAUUAUCAUUCGUAUAGGCUCUUGACCAAACAUAUUCUCAUUUAUUGAUUAUACAUGCUGAACAUACAUCAAAAUGUAUUAAAAUGAUAAUUAAACAUGCAUAAAGUCCAUUUAACAAAAUCUCAAAACUGUCACGUAGGUAUCGAUACUGACACUAGGGUAUCGUUAUUUUCUUUAAGUGGUAUCAAUACCACCUAGAAAAAUGAUACCAAACUUACAUUUUGUUUCUCGAUUAAAAACCCAAAGUCUUAAAAACUAUCGGUACCUGUCAUUAAAUAUCGAUACUUUAACCCCGUGUAUCGAUACUUGAGCAAAGGUAUCAAUACCAAAUCUCUAUUCUAACUUCAUGCACAUUUCAAAACACAGAGGUAUCGAUUUUAAAACCCGAUUAUCGAUACAUCUGCUCCAGACCUAAAAAAUGCUGCAUAUACAAGCAAUUAAUCCAUUCCAAUUUAGUUCAUAAACAUCAUACAUCAAUUACUUUUACAAAUAAUCAUUCAAUGACCUAAUUAGUAGUUCAAUAUCGCAAAAUUGUGUUCGAGCAAGUAACGUCAAUCCAUCCUUAUGUUCAUGAACUCAAGCAUAACAAUAACAUGUAAUUCUUAUAAACCAAACCAAAAGCAAAAUGUCUAGAAGUUACCAUGGCUAUAAACAAGUCUACCACAUUGCCUUUUUCCCCAAAACGUAAAUAAGUAUAGAACACCUACAAAAUAAUGCAAAAGUCUUGUUUGGAUCACCUCUCGGAACCAUACCACUCACAUCGGCACACUACUAAUCUGCAAUGGUUUAAAAGGAGUGGGUGAGCUUAACAAGCUCAGUAAAUUCUCAAAAUAACCACAAUGCAAACAAUUCAUCAAGUAUCAACGAAACAACCAUAUAGCAUAGCCUCAACAGUUCCAACUCUAGUGUUAUUUUAUACUUAUUCGUGCAUUAUUACUAGUUCUUUUACAUGGUAAACAUAUUCACUUUUAAGCAUAUAUCCUAUUACACAUAUAAUCACCUAACAUUCAAGCAUAUAUCACAAUAUUCAAAACAUCUUUAUAGAUAAAUUGCAUAAUGGUCACAUACUCAUUUAGGCAUACAUCACAUUACACAUAUAUACAUUUUAAGAUAAUUUGACACUUGAGUUAUGAAACAUAAAAGUGAGCUCUAUCAUCACUUAUCAAAUACGCGAAUUUCUAACACAUCAAACAUAGGCUCAUAGAAUCAAACAUGUCCCAAAAGUGAAGCAUAAAGCUAACACACUCCUUAUUUCUCAUCACAUGUCCUGUUGAAUGGAGUUUAGCUCACACUCUCUUAUCCCUCCAACAUGUCCUAGGGCCUCAACGCCCAAAACUAUUGUACACAUAGGUGAGUACUCACAAUCCUAUGGCAUGCCAACUAUAUCCUACAGUUUCAAGAUCACAAAGCCAAAAUCUCUGAAAUCAAACACAUAUCACUUACUGAUUAUCCGUGCAUUAUCACUGCAUAUUUGUAUCUUUAGCAAAACACUAUCACUAACAUUUAACAUAUACAUUACAUGUGCACAUUUACACUUUCACAAUGGUUAACAUAACCACAUAUCACAUGUUAUAGCAUCUCAUCUCAAUUCACAUAUUCACAAACACAUGAGCAUAUUGUUCAUAAGAUAGCAUAGGUAUAAGAAAGCUUACACUCAGAAUUUAGAGUAGGGGUUUAAGCUACUACUAAAUUCCCAAAUACCACAUUGAAUCAUGUCCGCGAGCAAUUAUUCCAAACACUCACCAAUUACACUUUCAUCGAAAAGCCAAAAGCUCAAACUAGCUUUUCCUUGCCUUUAUCUCUACUCGUAGAAGGUUCUACCGAAUCUAUAACUUUAACACAGCAAAUUCACACAACAAUACAUCCAAAAAUCAGCCAAGGACUCAUUACAAGCAUACAAAACAUAAGCCUAAACUAAGUUCUCAUUUAACUGAAACUUAUAACAUAGCAAACUUUAAAUUCGAAUAUCACAAUCUAUACUUAAUCUUUUCACCUAAAACCAAUUCCGUGCAUCUUAUAAUUCACCUACGACUAAUUCCCAGCCUUUAAACUACAAUAAAAUACUCAAUUCAUAGUAUCGACUUUUUCGACAUGUUUUAUGGCUAUUUUCUGAAAAUUUAUUAAAACUUAAGAAAUCUUUAUUGAAACUUCAAAUUAAGUUUACAAACCUUCUAUUUACAUAAAAAUAAUUGAAAAACACUUUGAAACCAUGUUUUUAUCCAAAAUCCUAAAAUCCACCAUUAACGAUCUAAUUUUCGGCUUUUAUUUAAAACAUGCAAUUUAAUAGCUAAAAAAUUAGUUUUAAAGACUAAAUAACAUUUAAAACUAUUUAGAAAUUGAAUCGUUACCUUAGACAACAAAAAUCCAAGCGUUAGAUCGAAAACCUAAAAAACUCAAAAGCUUGACAAUAGAAGAAACUAUGGUAUUUUCGGGUGUUUUUCUUGGUCUUUUUAUAGAGGUUUGUAACUUAAAAGAUGACAGAAAUCAAAAGAAAUUAAGAUUUGGAGUUCAAAAUUGAUUGGAAUAGCAAGAGAGAACAAGGGAUGACAAACACUAGUUUUGGAGGGUUGUUUUUAUGUGAAAUAAUUUGGAGAAUGGGGGUUUUUAGCUUGAAUUUUAAAAUCUGGUUAAAUUGCUUCAUAAAAAAUAUAAGUUUUGGAUCUUUUAAAAAUCAUUCCUUUUUUGCAAAAUUAAAGGUAUUUAGAAAUCAUUUUUAGAAAUUGAUUUAAUUUUCUAAAAAUCAUAAUUGAAAACAUUAUUAGUAUAUCAUGUCACAAUAUUUCGAACACUCUAAGGUCUAAAUAAAGUAUUCUGGUGAGUUCCUCUGUACCUUGUGUCUACUAUGUUAAAUUGUUUAUUCUUAAACUAUGUACAACCAUGUAAGUGGCUUAGUCAUUUUUUCCUGAUGUUCAUGUCUAAGAGGUCUCAUUCAAAGAGUUAGUGCAUGCGUGGCUAAUUACAGUUAAACAGGCUAGUAAAACCUGAUAUAUAUAUAGUAUGAGUACUCAUUCCUUCAUGUACAAGCUCCGUAUCCAGAUGGGUGUAAGGAGGUAUUUAGGGGAUAAUGUAUAUAAUGAUAAAGAAGAUACGAGAUAAUACGAUUUGCUUCUGGUAUGGCACUUGUUGCAAACUGUGAUUGGUGAAAACCCGACCUUGUAGGAGAACACUUAGAUGUCCAUACAAUAAGGGGAUUUAGAAAGGUACGGAGGUGUUGUCGUCACAUAGCUCAGAUGAGCGGACUUGAAGAUACAGGAAAUAUUUGGUUCUUUGAGAACCAAGGAUUAGAAGCUAUCACAAGGAAAAGAGUACGUGGAAAAAGGGUGCAUGUAGUAUUACAUGUUACAUGAGUGCAUGAACAGUAGGCAUGUCCUUAUAGUGGAUAAACCAUGCAAGUGAGGUAUUCACAGAGUAGAUGUACCCGUUAUUAUCUUAUAUAAGCAUAGAAAUAGUGUUGUUCGCCAAUUGGUUGAGUUGAAUUGCAGUAUCGUCUGCCAGUUGAUUUAUAAACCAAAGUAAAGUAUUCGCCAAACAUGGCGAAAGAGUUGAGUCUGUUUUUCCUUCUUGUCUAAUGGAAAUUAAGUUGGGAUCAUUUUCCUAGGAACUCAUUAAAUUCUUACGAACUUACCGAGAUUCUUCUUUCUUUCAAGUUCUUAGAUUAAGCAUGUUGACUGAAGGGAGACAACCAAAUCAGCGGCCAUUUGUAAGCCUUCUUAAUUUCAGGGUUAACAUGUAUUUGCUGGAGGGUGUUAAGUCUCUUGUUAGAUACAACCACUUUGGAUUUUUUUUCUGUAUUGAAUGUUAAUUUGAAAACAUUGAAUGAUGAAUGGAAGCCUUGUCAAUGUAAUGAUAUUUAUGAUUCAUUGAUGUAAAUUCAAUAGACGAAAAAGGGUAAUCCAAGGAUAAUUAAGUCUUCAAAUGUGGUGAAAUGUUACAAUAAAAUCAUACAGCCAAAUAUAGGUGAACUCGGGCUAGAGAAGUACUGCUCUGUUAGAGAAAGUAUCUGCCAAAACGAAUAAUGUUCUUUUCUAGAAAGAAGAAGUUAAUAGACGUGUUUUUAGAUCAGGUCAACCUGUGAUGCUCCAUACCUGGAUCUAGGGGUCAGGUUGGGCAUGGGGUGUCACAUGACUUCACUAUGGAAGUCGAAUAUGUGGCAGCUUCUGAGGCAACAAAAGAAGCAAUAUAGUUUUGUGAGUUCCUAUAGAUCUUGAAUUUGUUCUUGGUAUGGAAAAAGUUAUCAUACUAUAUCAAGAAAAUAGAACGAAAAUAGCUAACACCAAAGAAACCAGAAACCACAAAAGGACGAAGUACAUUGAUAGAAAAUAUCACAUUAUAAAGGAGGCAGUAGUAAAGAAAAUAGUAGAUGUAGUCAAAGUCACAUUAGAGGAUAACCUUACGGAUUCAUUUAGCAAGACUCUGAUAGCUAGAAGUUUUGAGAAACAUGUAGAGGGCUUGAGAAUGUGAAAUUUUACUUAUCUACUUCACUAGGGCAAGUGGGAGACUGUUGGAUCUAGUUUCAUAAGUGUAGUAUAUUCAUUUGUAUACUUGUACUUUUCGAACAAAUUGGUUUAAUAAAAUAUCUAUUUAUUACAUUAUUAGUCUUUGUAGAUUAUCUUCAACAUUUUUUGCAUGCAAAACAAAAUGGAAAGAAAUAUUAUCUUAUUGAUUAUCUAGAAUUUAAAUAAUACUAAACAGUAUUACGUGGUUGGAUCAUAAUACAAAAAGACAGUUUGUAUUAGUAGAUAAACCUAAACAUGUCAUUAGUCUAAUCUGAAAAGAGCAAACAGAUUGAAAGACUAAUAUUUCGUCUAUCAUGUCUAAUUGGAGAGAUGCAUUGUCUUAAGCAUUGAAGCGAAUGACUACCAGUAGAUAGAGACAUAGAUGUGACUGACUGGACUGACAAUAAAUUGGACAAGACCCUAAUAGAAUAGCUUCUAGAUCUAUAUAUGAAUCUAUUCACUUGUGACAUUCAUAGUGUGGCAUACCUUAAUCCUGAAUGGAUGAUGAACUGUGUAUGCAUGACUUGUAUACUUUAAUGCAAGUAAAAGCUUAAGUUUGAAUAAAUAAGGAACCAUAAGCUGAUGUAUGCUUUAUGUGACUUCAUUUACAGUAGUGGAAUUCAUAGCCCAACUAAUGGGUAAAUGUUAUCCUCUCAUCGAUAUUACAUGAUAGAUGAAAAAUAAAAAUUGCUACAAUUGUUUGCCUUUGUGAUAAAUGACUUGAUUACUAUUUGAUAGUAAUUGACUUUUCAUAAAGAGAGAUGUAAUAGUUACCAUGAGAUAAAAUAUGAUCAUAUUAGGAGAAUGAAUUUAUCCUAAAAAGAUUAAAUGUAUCUUAUGAGGGUAACAUACUUAUGACAAGGUUAUUGGACGAACACUUAUUAAGUAUCUUUCGUAAGGGUAUAUAAUUAGGGAGAACUUAGUAACAAUACUAAAGUAGAAUGAGUUCAUGACUAAAUAAAUUUAUAAUUAAUAGGUAAAAAGAUAGAAUUUAAUUAUAAAUUAUUUGAGCCCUAAUUAUAUAUGUCUAAUCAGUCUUUUUGCUAGCUUGUUGAAACCAUAAAUAAAUGGAAAUGAUAAAGUUAGAGAAAUAGGUCAUAUUCACAAAUGAAUGUGUUUUCUCACUAAGUAUAGAAAUGACUUGAGAAUUAAUUUAAGGUUUUCAAAUAAUUAUUUAAUAAUUCUAAUUAAGUAAUUGAUAUUCAAAAAUGGAAUUAAAUUAAUUAGUCAUGAAUCCAUUGAAUAAUGAAAUCAAAUAUAUUUACUCAUAGAUUCUUUUACGGUAAAGUUGUCAUGACUUUAAUAGAAGUAGAAUUGGGUUGAGAAAAUUAUUUAAUUGAGAAAUUAAUAUAGUUAAUUAAAUUAAUUAAAUUAAUAAAAUCAUAUUUAUUUCGAAAAACUAGAAAAUAAGUAUUGAUUUGGAUUAAAUUAUAAAGUGUUAAGUCAAAAUUCUAGAAAGCACAUAUAAUUAGACCCAACACAUGAGAGGCCCAUAAUCCUCUCAUUAAUUAGAGAAGGGUGACAAACUCUACUCCAAUUGGAAUAGGAGUGUGUUUUCUAUUAAAUAAAUAUUAUUUAUGUAGAGCUUUUUCAACUAGGAUUUUUAUAUCUCUUUCAUAAAUAGAUUACAUCGAUUGACCUAAUUCACACACUUCUUAAUUAUUAAUUUAUCACUAAAAUAGCUAAAAAUAGAGAUAAUUCAUUUACUUAGAGUAAAUUCUAUUUUCUAAUAAUUAUGAUCUUUACCAAUUUCUAUUGAGAGAAUUUUUUUUCCUACUUAAAAUUAAUAAUAUCAUUUCUUGAUUUGUGUUUGGUUCAUAUUGCUCAAUCCCACACUUAGGGCAAUUUGCGGUAUAAGGAUAGUGAAGAUGUUGCUUUGUUGAAAGCUGGGAUCAACUCGAAUUGUCUUGCACGAAGCACAGGUACUUUUCAGUAAAAAAAAUUAUUACUAUAAAUAUCACAACCAACUUGAUUUUGAAAAUUUUAAAUUUACGCUAUAAUUAUAAAUCAUUUUCGUAACCAAAAUUUUCUAACAAGUGAAUUUCGAGAAAAUCCACCAAGAAGCUCCAAAUAUUUAGUAUUGACCUCCGGGGUAAAAGGAUGCAGCGAGAGGGUAUUCAAAUACAACGCUCAAGUGUCAUGGGUUGCAUAUGGGAGCCCGCGACCAUGACAUACUUGUGUGAUCCAUCAUAUUCAAAGGAGGUUAUUCGGCCCAACUGGACUAGCCCAUGGCUUGGAGAGAUUAAAGGCCCAUCUACAAUGCUUGGCAAAUAUGGAAUGUAAUCUUCAAAUAUAUGUAAUCCUAGAUAUGAUAUGUAAUCUUUAGAAGAUACAAUUCUAUAAUCUUAGAGAUUUGAUUUGUAGAUAGCUUUUAAUCUUAGCCAUUGAUGUACUUUGAUAUGUAUCGUUGAUUUUGGGAGGCUCAACCAUUAAUAAAGGCCUCUCCCCCUCAUUGUAAUUCAUUCAGUGAGUAAUAGAAUUUUGAGAGCAUUCACUCAAAACUUUCUCUCUAGUGUCCUUGCUUUUCUAUGGCUUUGUUCAUCUUUCGAGUUCUUUUUCUUUUCAUUCUUUUGCUUGUUCUUCGUGGGUGCCUUAGACGAAUUCUAUUAAAUCCUCAAUUGUUGGGAGUUAGGUUGACCUAGACAUUUUUGGAGUGAAGAAACUGCCUUUAGUCGUACAAAUUAUUUAGGGAAAAUCUAAUCCCGUGAUAGUUUGGUAUCCGAGCUAAAGUUCGAAGGCACCGGUGAAAGAUGUCGAAAGAAAUUUUUGAGCAUGGUGAGCCAAUGGAGACCCCUAGGAGGGCCAAAAAAGCUAGUCAUUCGAGGGACAUACUGUUGGCUUUGGAGGAUCGACUCAUCACUCUCGAGGAAUCCAUGAGGAUGUCAAGAAGAGGAUCGAUGAUGUCAAUGAUAGGGUCAUCGAUGGGUUGCAGUCCAUGAAGGAGCAGCUCAGAGAUUAUGUGUUAAGGUAGUUAUUGCUGCUAUAUAUCUUACAGACGUUGCUUUGUUGUGGUGGCAUCAUAGGUCCACAGAUGUAAGACGUAGUGGGACCAAAAUCAAGACUUGAGAGGAGUUCUAAAGUGAGUUCAUAGUAUAGUUUUAUCCAGAGUGUGCCGAGGAUGAGGCUCAGAAAAAGUACGUUAGCUUGUGCAACAAGGCACUAUGAGGGAGUAUGUGCAAGAGUUAGCGAACUCAUACUUCAUAUAUCAGAUAUGAAUAAGAAAGAUGCAUUUUUUCCUUCAUGGAUAGGUUGAAACCAUGGGCGAAACAAGAGUUGUAACGUCGAGGAGUCGAAGAGCUUCCCAAGCCCAUGACCGUAGCAUAAUCAUUUUCUAUGUUGGUGGAAAGAAAGACAAGCCUAAGUCUUCCAAGCCCAAAUUUAACCAAAGGACAAUGGUGGGGGAGACAAAGACAAACCUACUAAGAAUGGCAACAGUAAGAAGCCUUAGGACAAAAAGAAGAAUGGGUCUUUAAGUUGCUUCCAUUGUGAUGGUCUACAUAUGAUCAAUGAUUGUCCGAAGAAGGCCGCAAUUUUUACUAUAAAAGUAAAAGUGGAGGCAGAUAAGGCAAAUAACAACCUUGGUUUCGAUAUUAAGGGGUGUCGAAGAUAAGACGAGUCAUGGGCUAAUAUUUGUAGACAUAAUGGUGGCUGGUAGAGAAUUGAAUACACUUGUCAACAUAGGGUGCGUUUGAUGUGUUCAUGUCCGAAGAGAUUACUUGUAAACUAAUCUCUAGAUCCAAAAUGAGUCGGGUAUGAUUAAGACUGUAAAUUCAGAAAGUGUUCCAAUCACGGGGGUUGUAAAGGGAGUGGAUCUCUAUCUUGGCGAUAUGACCGGUAAGGCGAUCAUUAAGGUAAUACCACUUGAUGAUUAUGAUUUUUUGGUUGGAUUAAGUUUCCUUGAUUGGGUUAAUGCAUCUUUUUUUCCUUUUGGUAAUUACAUGGUGAUUUUAUAUUCAAACCAUUGAUGCAUGGUGAGAAUUAUACGGAAAGAAAGCAUGGAGAGAAAAACAUUUUCGGUAAUCCAAUUUGCUAAAGGAGUACGUAGAGAUGAAGUCUCCUAUUUAGCCACCCCGAAGAUCGAGGAAGUCAUUAAGUCUAUCGGUGAGAUCUCGAGAGAAGUGGGCCAAUUAUUUCAGUCUUUUCUAGAUGUGAUGCUUAUCGAGUUGCCCAAAAAUUUGCCACCUAAGAGAGAGGUGGACCAAAGGAUCGAGUUAGUGCCCAACAUGAAGCAGCCAACAAAGGCCCCAAAUCUUAUGUCUCCGCUAAAAUUGGAAAAGCUGUGGAAAAAAUUGAAUGUGCUUUUAGAUGCGGGAUUCAUUAGGCCAUCUAAAUCUCCGUACGGUGCAUCAGUGUUGUUUUCAAAAGAAACAUGUUGGGUUAUUGAGAAUGUGCAUCGAUUACUGGGCCUUAAACAAGAUUACUGUGAAUAACAGUACUUUAUUACCAUUAUUACGGAUUUAUUUGAUCACUUGGUAGUGCGAGAUGGUUUACCAAGUUGGAUUUGAGAUCGGGGAACCAUCAAGUUCGGAUAGCCGAGGGAGACGAGCCAAAGACAACUUUGUAACGCAGUUUGGUUCGUAUGAGUUCCUUGGUGAUGCCCUUUGGACUCACGAAUGCACUAGUUACAUUCUGCACCUUAAUGAAUAAAGUACUUCAACUUUUCCUAUAUCAUUUUGUGGUUGUUUACCUUGAUGAUAUUGUGGUGUACAGUAAGUAGCUCGAGGAGCAUGUGGAAACAUUUAAGGGAAGUGUUCCAAACUUUGAGGGAAUAGAAGCUAUUUGUCAAAGAGGAGAGGUGCUCAUUUGCCCAACGAGAGGUGUCAUUUCUAGGCCACAUUGUGGGAGGUGGUAGGAUCUAGAUGGAUGAGAGCAAAAUUUGGGCCAUUGUUAAAGUGGGAGCCACCAACAAGGUGACAAAGUUGAGAUCUUUUCUUGGGUUGGCGAAUUAAUAUCAAUGCUUCAAUCAAAAGCUACUCUAAAAUUACCGCACCCUUAACGGACAUGUUGAAAAAGGCUAAGGUAUGGGAUUGGGAUCGACAAUGUGGAGAAAGCCUUUAAACCAAUUAAAGCAAGUGAUAAUAAGGGAGCCUGUACUUACUUUGUCAGAUUAUUCAAAGCCAUAUGAGGUACGCACGGAUGCAUCAAAUUAUGCCAUUGGGAGUGUACUAAUGCAAGAUGGGCAUCCAAUUGCUUUUGAGAGUCGAAAGCUUAAUGAGACAGAGUGGAGGUACACAGUCUAAGAAAAAGAGAUGACUGUUAUGGUGCAUUACUUGCUCACAUGGAGGAAUUAUUUAUUGGAUUCUAAGUUCGUGGUCUUUACCGAUAAUGUUGCCAACAGUAAGUUAGGACCCGAAUAUUGCCUUUGCUUUUGGAAAUUCUUAUUUCGAGAAGUCAAAGUAUCAAGACCAGUAAGUUAGGACCCAACAUUUUGAAUCCCCGAGAAAUAAGCUUCAUUUGAAAUUUGUGAAUUUAUUGCAAAAUGAAUACUUAGCAUUCUAAAUUCAUCGAAGAAUAAUCGCGAUCCAGUAAGUUAGGACACGAUCUUUCUCGAGAAUCACGAGUGCCAAUAUUUUAAAAAUUUAUAAAAUAUGAUGAUUUUAAUGCUUUGCCGCAACCAAAAUAUAUUUUUUUCUAAAAGGCGUAUUAAAAAGUUGAUGUAUAACAUGAAACAAAUACUUUAACUUAAAUUACAAGUGUAUAUGUAUUUACAAAAUAUACAUGUUCAAGUAUAAUAUACAAGGAUACAUAUAAAAGAUGGAGUGGAAUAUAUCAAUCAGAAACUAAUAAAAAAAUGCACGUAUAUAUUUGAAAAUCGUGAAAAUAAACAAAAAGUAUGAAUAUGUGUAUAAAUUUACAAAAUAAAAAAAUGUAUAAGUAUAUAUAAAAUAUAAAGUAUAUGGAAGUUUUAAAAAAACUAUAUAUAUAAAAAAAUUAAAAAACGUAUGAAUAAAAUAUAAGCAUGCAUUUAUAAAAGCUUAAAAAAAUGUAUAUAUAUUAUAUAAAAUAUGCGCAUGAAUAUGUAUAGAAAAUAUAAUAAUAAUAUAAUAAUGAUAGUAAAUAAUAUAAUAAUAAAAAUAAAAAUUAAAAAAAAAACGAAUUGCAAAAAAAAAACACAAAUAACCAAUAAAUGAAAUUAAAAUAAAAUGGAGGACCAAUUUGCAACGCGCGCAUUAUAUGAGGGGGCCCAAAUGGAAAUAAUCCAUCCCCCAAACUGUGUGCAUUGAUGUGGGCUGAAAUGAACAAAGGUAAAAACAUUUGGGCCAAAUUAAAAAGAAAUAACUUGGCUUAAUAAAACAUGGCGCAAAGAGGGAGGGCUAAAUACGAAAUUUUCCCAUUUAAGGUGGAUAUGCGCGGACCCCUCCCCCCCCCCCCCCGCCCAAACUAAACGGCUCAGCUUUUAUGUUUUAGUUUAAAUUAAACAAAACAAAAAAAAAGAUCAUUCUGUUUCUUUUUCUAAAAGAAAAGCAGUGUCUCUCGUUUUUUUUAACCCAUUAUUUGGCCGCCAUUUAACCGUGCGCCAAGGCCCGAUUGUGACGGAGAUGGCACCGGCUCGACGACUUCGGCGAUUAGGUGAGUUUCCCCUUUCCCUUUUACAUUUUAAGAGAAAAAUAACUAAAAAAUAAAGGAAAAAAAAUAAAAACAAAACCGAUAACUAAGAAUGACGAACACCAAAUAAAUAAAUGGAAAAAAAACCUUUUUGUAUUCAAAAUCUCUUUAUAUCUCCCCCUUUUACACUGAAAAUAUUGGCCUUUUAUAGCCGAAAAUGGAAAAGAAAACUAAAUCCAAACAAAUCUAUUCGGUUGUUUGUUGGCUCGAUUUUUCUUUGCUCUUCUCUUUCGCUUGUUGCAGGUACGUGCUUGAGGAGCGACAUUUGCGGAGGUGUGGCGUGCGUAGAGGAGCGCGAAGAGGCAGUAGUUGCGGCGCCAGAUUGCUAGUGGCCGCUGGGGCAGAAGCAGCUACGGCGCUGAAGCAGAAAGGGCUAGGGUUUCUGCACUGGGCUAGGGUUAAUGUAAUUGGGCUGAAUUUUUGGGUUUAGUCUGCAGAUGGGUAAUUAGGUUAAUUUUGGGCCUUAAAAUGUCUUACGGGCCUGGGCAUAGAAAUUGGGUAUUACAGGUAAAAUUGGAAUAUUUGUUAUAGUAAAAAGGCCACUCAUGAAAUUAUCCGUUUAUAAUUUCUUUGUAUUUUUC